rnacentral:rRNA from 1 species
GAUGAACGCUGGCGGCGUGCCUAAUACAUGCAAGUCGAGCGAACAGACGAGGAGCUUGCUCCUCUGACGUUAGCGGCGGACGGGUGAGAACACGUGGAUAACCUACCUAUAAGACUGGGAUAACUUCGGGAAACCGGAGCUAAUACCGGAUAAUAUAUUGAACCGCAUGGUUCCAUAGUGAAAGACGGUUUUGCUGUCACUUAUUGAUGGAUCCGCGCCGCAUUAGCUAGUUGGUAAGGUAACGGCUUACCAAGGCAACGAUGGGUAGCCGAACUGAGAGGGGGAUCGGCCACACUGGAACUGACACACGGCCCAGACACCGAGGGGAGGCAGCGGUAGGGAAUCUUCCGAAAUGGGCGAAAGCCUGAAGGGGCAACGCCGGGUGGGUGAAGAAGGGUUUCGGACCGUAAAACGUUUUUAUGGGGGAAAAAAAAAUGUGUAAGUAACUAUGCCCGUCUUACGGGUACCUAUUCAGAAAGCCACGCCAAACUCGGU